CAUUGUGUGGUCGAAGAUGUGGUUUGCGAGUGCCCAUGGCAGGAUUCCCACUGCGGAGACUCCUGUACAUCGGGUAUGAGGCAGCACAUUGCGUGCAAUGCAUUCUGGUCUUUUUUCCUCCCUCCAGAAGAGGCUCCAUUUAUGUGUUAGGCUUUAAGAGGCUGGGCGUACCAAAAGGAAGUCUCUGAAACGCAGUCCUGUCGAACACCUCUGGAGUUGAUUCUUCUGAUAUCACAGGAGUUCUUCCUAUCACUGUAUAUUAUUGGGUGCGAGCCCCCGGUCCUUCCUCUAUGAGGAGGCAGUGGAGGGAAGAGUUGAACCUCUUCUCGCACACACACCUGAGACUCCCUGGCUCUCUCUGUGGGCCACAGGAUGGGCUUCAGUUAUGGCGAGUAAUAAUUUUGUUAUCGCGGUUUUUACAUUGAUUUGGAACAUGGUGUUACACAAAAUGCUGAAAUUGAAAAAGACAGGAUGAGUCACCUUUGCCCUGUCUCCUCUUCAAGUCUGAUCCUAAUUGAACGGAGAGUGCAAACUGCACGCCAAGAUUUGCAGAACAAAGGCCUCCCCGCCCACGAGUUCCUCAUGGCCUUGCCUCAGUCCCCGAAAUCCCGCUGUUAGCCUCCCUCACUAGAAUAAGGCAUUAGCACAGAAGCCAACGUUGGGGGAAAAGAAAAUCAAUACAGCGUGGAAGAGAAAGCAGGAAGCCAUGGAGGGAGGAAGAGACUGAGGCUCCGGCUGGAAGGACUUCGUUUGUGAUAAGAGCAGAGAGGAAAAGCAGCAAGAAAGAAAAGUCGCUGUACACUUUGGGUCUGGACAUCAAAGAAACAAAGGAAAUGCUUAGAUUCAGAGUGGCACGUGUGUAGAAAAAAGUCCUGCUUUCCUGUCUUGGGGGACACCACUAUCAUCCCAUGUAAGUGACCAGUGCUCCCCAAGUGGCCCUCUCCUGGCAUUUCACUGAGACACAAGCUCCCUGAAAGCUGGGGCUUACCUGACCAUGUGCCCCCUGCACUCCCAGGGCUGAGACCUGCGUCUGGUCCCUGCUAGACACCCAGCGAGGGUUGACAGCAUGAGCGAAUGAGCUUCUCCGUCUGCCCGUAAGUGUGAUGGACACCUUCUCCUACAGCCACCCGUUUCACACAUCAGGCAAACGUCUGUCAAGUCCACUCCUGAAAAUCCUGGUAUUUUCUCUACUUCUCUAUGAUAAUUUUAAUGUUUCCUUGAGGCAGUAUUCUUGCACCGGAAAGCAGCAUGAAUGAGGACUUGGAAAGCCCCCGCUUGCCUACGAAGGCGUCAUGGAAGGAUGUGGCAUUGGACAGGUGAUGCAGUCACAGCCUCGCCCUAGGCCACUCCGGGUCUCUGCUGCCAGGCUACGAGGAGCAGAGAAACACAGGUCCUCUAGCGCAGAUACUUUCUCCAUGCAAGUCUUGAACUUCUGAAAGUCAUCCAUGUGGGUUAAAAUAAACUUCUUCCAAACUCCUGUGAAUAUUGAUAAUUGAUCUUCUCUUAUGAAUUAUGAAUGUUCUUAAUGACAUCUCAAAUGGUAAAUCCUUUCCAAAAGGCUUUCAGUUUACCUCACCCAGCUCCAUCAGAGGACUCACUAUCUAUGGCAGCUAUGGCCUUAUGAAAUGUAUUUCUCAAAUAAUAAGACUUGAAAGUAGAAAUGACUCCAUGAUCUAUGGGCUGCAGAAUGGAUGUUGUGUGAGCAGGCAUGAAAACAACAUUCAGGCCAGGCAUGGUGCCUCACGCCUGUAGUCCCAGUACUUUGGGAGUCCGAGGCGGGAGGAUCACUUGAGGUCAGGAGUUCGAGACCAGCCUGGCCAACAUGGUGAAACCCUGUCUCUACUAAAACUACAAAGUUAGCUGGGCGUGGUGGCGGGUGCCUGUAAUCCUAGCUACUUGGGAGGUUGAGGCAGGAGAAUUGCUUGACCCUGGGAGGCAGAGGUUGCAGUGAGCCAAGAUCACUCCAUGCCACUGCACUCCAGCCUGGGGGAGAGAACAAGACUCUGUCUCAAAACAAACAAACAAACAAACAAACAACAACAUUAAUCUCCUUGUACAUCUCCAGUAGAGAUCUUGGGUGACCAGGUGCACUGUCAAUAAGUAGCAAUAUUUUGGAAAGAAUCAUUUUCCUAAGAAGUAAGUCUUAACAGUGGGCUUAAAGUAUUCAGCAAACCAUACUGUACACAGAUGUGCCGUUAUCCAGGCUUUGCUGGUCCAUUUAUAGAGCACAGGCAGAGUAGAUUUAACGUAAUCCUUAAGAGCCCUAGGAUGUUUGGAUUGGUAAAAUUGGCUUCAACUUAAAGUCACCAGCUGCAUUAUCUCUCCACAAGAGAGUGAGCCUGACCUUUGAAGAUUUGAAGCCAGUUAUUGACUUCUCUCCAGCCAUGAAAGUCCUAGAAGGCAUCUUCUUCCAAUAGAAGGCUGUUUGGUCUACACUGAAAGUCUGUUGUUUAGUGGAGCCAUCUUCAUUGACGGUCUUAGCUAGAUCUUCUAAAGAACUUGCUGCAGCUUCUCCAUGAGCACUUGUUAUUUCACCUUACACUUUUAUGUUAUGGAGACGGCUUCCUUCCUUAAACCUCAUGAACCAACCUCUGCCAGCUUCAAACUUUUCUUUUGCAGCUUCCUUACCUCCCUUGGCCUUCACAGAAUUGAAGAGAGUUAGGGCCUUGCUCUGGAUUAGGCUGUGGCUGCAGGGAAUGUUGUGGCUGGCUUGAUCUUCUAUCCAAAGCACUAAAUCUCGCUCCAUAUCAGCAAGGAGCUUGUGUCACUUUCUUAGCAGUUGUGUGUUCACUGGCAUAGCACUUUUAAUUUCCUUCAAAAACUUUUCCUUUUUAUUCACAACUUGGCUAACUGGCACAAGAGGCCCAGCUUUCAGCCUAUCUUGGCUUUCACCAUGGCUUCCUCACUAAGCUUAAUCAUUUCUAGCUUUUGAUUGAAACUGAAAGAUAAUGUGACCCUUCUUUUACUUGAACACUUACAGGCUGUGGUUGGGUUUCAAUGUUGUUGAAACCCAACAUUGUUUUUGUGUCUCAGGGAAUGGGGAGGCCCCAGGAGAGGGAGGGAGACCAGAAACGGCCAAUCAGUGGAGCAGUCAGAACACACACAACGUUUAUCCAUUAAGUUCAUCAUCUUAUAUGGUGCCGUUCAUGGCACCCCACGACAAUUCCAAGAAUAACAUCAAAGAUCACUGAUCACAGAUCACCAUGAGAGAUAUCAUAAUAAUGACAAGGUUUGAAAUAUUGUGAAAAUUACCAAAGCGUGACACAGGACAAAAGCGAGCAUGUGCUAUUGGGAAAAUGGUGCUGAUAGACUUGCUUGACACAGGGUUGCCACAAACCUUCAAUUUGCAAAAACGCACUCUCUGUGAAGCACGAUAAAGUGGGCUACAAGAAAAUGAGGUCUGCCUGCCUCUGUGCGCUGUACAUGAAAACAAGCCUAAUUUUCAAGAGACCUUGGCAGUGGCUGUUUGUUUUUGUGACUGUUGAGGUUUUUUUGUUUUUGAGUUUCAUCUUGUUUUUAAAUAAA
rnacentral:lncRNA from 1 species